rnacentral:tRNA from 1 species
GCCUCCAUAGCUCAGUCCGGUAGAGCGGCAGUUUUGUAAACUGUAGGUCACAGGUUCAAAUCCUGUUGGGGGCA